rnacentral:rRNA from 1 species
GAUCAUGCUCAGAUUGAACGCUGGCGGCGUGCUUAACACAUGCAAGUCGCGCGUGAAAGGACUUCGGUCCGAGUAAAGCGGCGCACGGGUGAGUAACGCGUGGAUGAUCUACCCAUGAGUUAGGAAUAACGGCUGGAAACGGUCGCUAAUACCAAAUACGCUCCGAUUCCAACUUCGGGGGAAAGGUGGCCUCUGCUUGCAAGCUACUGCUCAUGGAUGAGUCCGCGUCCCAUUAGCUAGUUGGUGGGGUAACGGCCCACCAAGGCGACGAUGGGUAGCCGGUCUGAGAGGAUGACCGGCCACACUGGGACUGGAACACGGCCCAGACUCCUACGGGAGGCAGCAGUGGGGAAUAUUGCGCAAUGGGCGAAAGCCUGACGCAGCGACGCCGCGUGAGGGGAAUGAAGGUCCUCGGAUCGUAAACCUCUGUCAGGAGGGAAGAACCGCCACGGUGCUAAUCAGCCGUGGUCUGACGGUACCUCCAAAGGAAGCACCGGCUAACUCCGUGCCAGCCGCCGC